GCCUAACUGGCUCAGUCUAUAGAGCAUGUGACUCUUGAUCUCAGGGUGGUGAGUUCAAGCCCCAUGUUGGGUG
rnacentral:tRNA from 1 species